AAUGAAAUUUGACUUACGCAUC
rnacentral:miRNA from 1 species